AGUGAACGCUGGCGGUAGGCCUAACACAUGCAAGUCGAACGGCAGCACAGUAAGAGCUUGCUCUUACGGGUGGCGAGUGGCGGACGGGUGAGGAAUACAUCGGAAUCUACUUUUUCGUGGGGGAUAACGUAGGGAAACUUACGCUAAUACCGCAUACGACCUACGGUUGAAGGCAGGGGAUCUUCGGACCUUGCGCGAUUGAAUGAGCCGAUGUCGGAUUAGCUAGUUGGCGGGGUAAAGGCCCACCAAGGCGACGAUCCGUAGCUGGGCUGAGAGGAUGAUCAGCCACACUGGAACUGAGACACGGUCCAGACUCCUACGGGAGGCAGCAGUGGGGAAUAUUGGACAAUGGGCGCAAGCCUGAUCCAGCCAUACCGCGUGGGUGAAGAAGGCCUUCGGGUUGUAAAGCCCUUUUGUUGGGAAAGAAAAGCAGCAGGUUAAUACCCCGCUGUUCUGACGGUACCCAAAGAAUAAGCACCGGCUAACUUCGUG
rnacentral:rRNA from 1 species